UGGAUCGCUGUUCCCACACGG
rnacentral:misc_RNA from 1 species